UUUUUUUUUUUUUUUUUUUCCUCAAAUAGUUAUUAUAACUCUGGUCAUGGGAGACAAAAAGCUGCCAGGAAGGAUAAUAGCUUCCAACACUUAAAGAUAUUAGCUACAAAUUGGAUUAGCUCUCCUUAUCAGUUUUGGAUUGAAAAAUACCUUUGUAAUGACAUAGCUCUCUGUAAUAAAGUGCCAUGCUAAUGCAUAUCAGUGUUUGGUCAGAAUUAAAUCUUUGAAGAAUGAAUAAUGACAACAGCCAUAUUCCCCAAACUAAUAUAAAGAUUCAAACUCUGAAAAAUUCUAUUUGUUAUUUUCAAAUUUAUCUAUAAAUAAAUGUGUGGUAUUAAUGUCUUCAUCAUGUUCGGUCUUCCCUGUGUCCUUCCACAUUGACUCUUGGCUUGGUUUUAUGACUUGCUUAGGCCAAAAGAAUGAAAGUAUACUUGAAAUUUGGAGAGACUUGACAAGUACUUUUUUUAUUAGGUUUUCCCUCUUUCUUUCCUUGGAACCCUAUACCAAGUGAAGGAGCCUGUGAUAAAAUGCUAAAGGAUAGAGGCUAAAUGGUGGAAAUAGAAAUGCUGGCCAGCAGUCAGCCAGCCAACUGUUGUCAACAGACUUAUGAGUAAAUUCCAGAGAAGAUUAUCCAAACCUGGUCCAGAACAGCAGAAUAACCCAGUUAUGCCCAGCCUGCAUUGCUGACCUUCAAAAACAUCAGCAAAAUAAGUUGCUGUUCUAAAUUUGGGUAUAGUUUGUUACAAUAACUAGCUGAUAUAUUACCAUUUAAGAAUGUUUCUAGGAGUUCCUAUUGUGGCUUAUGGCUUAAGGACUCAAUGUUGUCUGUAUGAGGAUGUCGGUUCCAUCUCUGGCCUUGCAUAGUGGGUUAAGGAUCUGACAUUGCUGCAGGUUGUAGCAUAGAUUGCAGAUGUGGCUCAGAUCUGGUGUUGCCAUGGCUAUGGUGUAGACCACAGCUGCAGCUCCUAUUUGACCCCUAGCCUAGGAACUUCCAUAUGCCACAGGUGCAGCCAUAAAAAGAAAAAAAAUAGAUACUGCUCUACUAAAAUACUUGACUUUAUUUAUAGACAUCCUAAAAUGCUAGAAUGUAACAAUGAGAAGCCCUUCACCCCUUGAUUUUAUACAUGAGAAAAGUAUAUUCCAGAGAUGUAAAAUAACUUAUUUAAAGUUCUAUAACUAGUUAAUGACAGCAUGGAAAUAGGACCUAGUUCUUCGGGCUCUCUCCCAAGUGAUCAUUUUACUAGAUGAUUAGUGUACUUUGUUCACCAAAAAAAAAGAUGCUAUGGUCCUCAAGUGUAUGUGCUAGAUUUAUCUCACUAAUAAUUAGAAUUAAAUGUGCUGCACACAUUCACCUAUGCCAUGCCAUGUCCUUCUGUGAUGAAUUCCUGACCUGUCCCUAGUUAUGGUGUUUUCAUCUGCCUGUAGUGUAUGCAGGGAUAGCCCCCCACUCCUGCACCCCAAACCCUGUAUCUUUAACUCAGUAUCUAAUCCUGAAUCAAGCAGUUUCUCUUACAUGGAAGCUACUAGGCUGGCUACACACAUUUACAUAGAAGUUAUAAAGAGACAAUGAGUUCAAAUGAACUUAGACAGUAGGCAGGAUAAACUCCAUGUUUAUUUCAGUUACAUUUUCCCCCAAGUCCCAUGUGGGUACUAUAGAGGCAGGACCUGGUGGACAAUGUGGUUACAAGGGUUUGUGUCACAGCUGAAGAACACUGAUAAACACUGAAACUCCCAAUAUUUUAUAGGAGUGGCUAGCAAACUUGUCCAAACCUUCUUCUCCAGGGACGAAAUUAUCUUUAUUAUCCUUGUCAGGAAACAAAUAUUCCUUCUCACCUAGAGGGAGACAAUAUAUCUAACUUCAAGGGAUAUCUGUUAUGCCAAUCUUUGAACAAAGUUGUCAAUGUAUUUUGCUCAGAAGAUGUGGAGAAAUUCCUUAUCUGUGGAGAGUUUUCUCCCAGCAACCAAAUAUGCUCAGUUCAACUUCAUCUCUUGUUUGGUUGAGUAAAUAGUCUCCACGUGCUCUCAUCAGUUCCAUUCCAAUUUGAUUCAUUCCCACUCUAUAUACUUCAUAGAAUUAGCUUUUUAUAAUAUAAAUAUUAUCCUAACACCAGCUCUUUAUUUCAUAUUGACAAAACCCCUACCAUUUUACACUAUUGUAUGGGAUUAGCCUCUGCCCUGCUUGCCAGUAUCAUCUGUGGCUAAAAUUAUUUUGUUGUUCUCUGAAUCCCCAAGCCACUUUGGCUUUCUCUCAUUCCCUCAAACCCAUUGAUUUGUUUUUCACUUCAAGAACAUUGCACAUGUUAUUUAUUGGAGUGGUAGCCACUUUAAUCAUCCAUAUUUCUCCCCACUGCCCCAUCAGCCUCCUGGUGCCUACUCCUUCUUAUCCAGUAGGUCUCAUUUCAGAAUCCAGAAUUGUAUUUGGUUACUUGUUAUCAUUAUACUCACCAGUUUUAUUCAUUGUGUUAAACAUAGCUUUAUUGAUAUAAAAUUUAUAACACUAAAAUUCACCCAUAUAAAAUGGACAAUUCAAUGGAAUUAUAAAACUAUUAUUGCAAUCAAUUCUAAAAUGUUUUCUCCAUUUCAGUGGUUUUAUUCUUGACACCUGAAGAAUUUGUAAUGAUACAAUUUAGUUUGCCUACUUGUUUAUCUUCUAUCUCCUUCAUUACAUUGUAGGCUCCAAGAGGAUGAGGAACAGAUAUCUUCAUUUACUAUAGUAUAUUCAGCAUAAUCAUAGAGUUAGGGUACAUAAUAGACAAUUAAAUAUGUAUUGGUUGAAUGUGAGGAGAGGUCUUGGGAAAUUUUUCUACAAAGAGGAUAUGGCACAAUUAAAGGCCCCAGAUUGGAACUAACAUGAGAAGUUCAAAGAACUGGGAAAAAUUGGAAUAGCUUGAAGAAGAAGGCAAAUAAGUCAUGAUAAUAAGAUAAAGCUGGUGAGGUAGGCAAAGAUCUUUAAAGGCUUUAAUAACAAUUUCAGUUUAAUAACUCUACUUAUUCCACUUUGUUUUCUGCUUGAGGUUCACUGAGAAGCCCUGUCCAGAUCAAAGGAAUUAUAUUAGAACUUCUUCUACAACUAUUUGACUGUUUGAACUUUCCUGGAGUUUACAUAAAUACUAAAAUAUUUAUAACCUCACAUGAUAUAGGCUAAUCUUUGGGCAAUAUCUCAAGUUUAGGCUUUGCCAUGAACUCACUUAAACCAAGGUCAAGAAUGUUUUAUUGAAUAAAUCUAAACCUUAUGUCCAUAUGUGCCCUCUAGUGUCACCACUGAUUCUGAGUCCUCACCUAAGGCUACUCUUCC
rnacentral:lncRNA from 1 species